ACUCAAAUGAAUUGACGGGGACUUGCACAAGCAGAGGAUUAUGUGGUUUAAUUCGAUGAUAAACGAAGAACCUUACCAAGAUUUGAAACCUAACUGAAGACAAACAGAAAUGAUUGUCGUCCCACAAGGACAGUUAGGCAGGUGAUGCAUGGCUGUCGUCAGUUCGUGAUUUGAAUUGUUCCCUUAAGUGGGGUAACGAACGCAACCCUCGUUGUCUGUUACACGUAUCAGGCGAGACUGCCCAGCUCUAAUUUUUUGAGAUGAUGUUUUCGAAAAAUUAGAGCUGGGAGGAAGGCGAGGAUGACGCCAAGUCCGCAUGUCCCUUUGAUAUCUUGGGCUACACACAUAAUACAAUGGCGACUACAACGGGUAGCGACGGGGUAACCCUGAGCCAAUCCUAAGAAAAGUCGCCCCAGUUCAGAUUGGGGGCUGAAACUCGACCCCAUGAAGUUGGAUUUGCUAGUAAUCGCGGGUCAUACAUACCGCGGUGAAUACGUUCUCAAGUCUUGUACACACCGCCCGU
rnacentral:rRNA from 1 species